rnacentral:rRNA from 1 species
GACGAACGCUGGCGGCGUGCCUAAUACAUGCAAGUUGAGCGCUGAAGGUUGGUAUUUGUACCAACUGGAUGAGCAGCGAACGGGUGAGUAACGCGUGGGGAAUCUGCCUUUGAGCGGGGGACAACAUUUGGAAACGAAUGCUAAUACCGCAUAAAAACUUUAAACACAAGUUUUAAGUUUGAAAGAUGCAAUUGCAUCACUCAAAGAUGAUCCCGCGUUGUAUUAGCUAGUUGGUGAGGUAACGGCUCACCAAGGCGAUGAUACAUAGCCGACCUGAGAGGGGGAGCGGCCACAUUGGGACUGUGACACGGCCCAAACACCUACAGGAGGCAGCAGUAGGGAAUCUUCGGCGAUGGACGAGAGUCUGACCGGGCAACGCCGCGUGAGAGAAGAAGGUUUUCGGGUCGUAAAACUCUGUUGGUAGAGAAGAAAGUUGGUGAGAGUGGAAAGCUCAUCAAGUGACGGUAACUGCCCAAAAAGGGACGGCUAACUACGUG